AACAAUUUUGAUAUGUGAUAAAUAAAUUAUGUUCGCACCUUAACAAUUUGCGGAAGAUUGAAAUGUUGUUUUGUUCUCUAUUUUUAGGACGUAAAAAUAUAUGAAAUAUUUUGUAUAUUGUGUUUAGUUCUGUCAACAUUUAAGUAUUGAGACGAAUUUUCUGAAGAAAAAAAAGCAUCGGUUGUAUUUAAACUUUUUCUUUUUCGUAUUUAGAUUGAAUAAAGUUUUGGAGAGGAAAAAAAGGCUGCUGGAAAACAGUCAGACCGGUCAGACAGGUGUGACUGUGUCAGGUGUCUCUGUCCUCCUUUGCAACCAACCCGGAAAGGUUAGAAACGGACGGUUUCUACUCUGGCUUCGUCUCUAACUCUUUAAUACGGAUUCUAACUGAAGUACAAUCAUGGCACCCAGAUAUGAAGGCUUGUCCCAAUGCAAGCUGGCGCUGGUGUUUGCCGUACUUAUGGACCUGUUGGGUGUCUCCUCCCUGCUUGUGGGUAUUUUUGUGCAACUAGAGAUCAAAGGUCAAGACUUUGGGGACCUGCUGGUGUACUCCGGAGCUCUGUUGAUACUCUUUUCCAUGGCGGGCUGGGUCAUUUGGUACAGCGGCAACAUUGAGGGUCUGACCUCCAAAAAGGACCUUGGUUGGGGGAUGAGCAGAGCCGUGGAUAGUAUAGCUCGGACCAUGAGCCGGAGGUUGCCCAGAACACGCAGCAGCCCUUCGUAGGAGGUGGAAGGUAUUGUAAGAGUUGACAUGAAGGAGAAGAACUUAAGGAGCAAACAAGCUACCCCCCCCCCAAGCAAAAGUCAGCGAGGUUACAGCUCCCCGCCCCCGUAAAUUAAGAAAGACAAAGAACACUGGUGGAAUUUGCAUGCCUUUCUUAAAUUAACAUUAAAAAUGUAGAUGAAUAUUCAUGCAA